CGAUGAAUGUCAGCUGUCCGUGACUUCGGUCCUGGGUGGUACAGCGAAAGCGUUAAGUGUUCCACCUGGGGAGUACGCCGGCAACGGUGAAACUCAAAGGAAUUGACGGGGGCCCGCACAAGCGGAGGAACAUGUGGUUUAAUUCGAUGAUACGCGAGGAACCUUACCCGGGCUCAAACGACACAGGAAUACUUUUGAAAGGAGGUAGCCCUACGGGGCCUGUGUCGAGGUGCUGCAUGGUUGUCGUCAGCUCGUGCCGUGAGGUGUCGGCUUAAGUGCCAUAACGAGCGCAACCCCUAUCGCCAGUUGCCAUCAAGUAAAGUUGGGGACUCUGGCGAGACUGCCGGCGCAAGCUGUGAGGAAGGCGGGGAUGACGUCAAAUCAGCACGGCCCUUACGUCCGGGGCGACACACGUGUUACAAUGGCAGGUACAGAGAGAAGCCAGGUGGCGACACCGAGCGGAACUCGAAAGCCUGUCUCAGUUCGGAUCGGAGUCUGCAACCCGACUCCGUGAAGCUGGAUUCGCUAGUAAUCGCGCAUCAGCCAUGGCGCGGUGAAUACGUUCCCGGGCCUUGUACACACCGCCCGUCAAGCCAUGGAAGCCGGGAGUGCCUGAAGUAUGCAACCGCAAGGAGCGUCCUAAGGUAAAACCGGUGACUGGGGCUAAGUCGUAACAAGGUAAC
rnacentral:rRNA from 1 species